rnacentral:rRNA from 1 species
AGCGUUGUCCGGAAUCAUUGGGCGUAAAGCGCGUGUAGGCGGCCCGAUAAGUCCGCUGUGAAAGUCCAGGGCUCAACCCUGGAAUGCCGGUGGAUACUGUCGGGCUCGAGUCCGGAAGAGGCGAGUGGAAUUCCUGGGGUAGCGGUGAAAUGCGCAGAUAUCAGGAGGAACACCAAUGGCGAAGGCAGCUCGCGGGGACGGUACUGACGCUGAGGAGCGAAAGCCAGGGGAGCAAACGGG